rnacentral:lncRNA from 1 species
AUCCCAUUAAAACCAACUAGAUUUGAUUAUGAAUCCAAAAAAAUAAUCAGACUGUAAUAUUGAGAGUUUCUAGUUAGAAUUUUCAAGUGCGUUUACUUAAAGAGUAAAUGUAGUUGCUGAGUUUUAUACUGAAUCACCAUAAAAUUUUGUAUAUUUGUGAUCAUAUUGUUUUGCUUAUUUCUUAUUUUCUAUUAUAUUUAGUUAUCUAUUGAGC